rnacentral:rRNA from 1 species
CUACGGGCCGCUGCAGUGGGGAAUAUUGGACAAUGGGGGAAACCCUGAUCCAGCGAUGCCGCGUGAGUGAAGAAGGCCCUAGGGUUGUAAAGCUCUUUUAGUGGGGAAGAUGAUGACGGUACCCACAGAAAAAGCACCGGCAAACUCCGUGCCAGCAGCCGCGGUAAUACGGAGGGUGCAAGCGUUGUUCGGAAUUACUGGGCGUAAAGAGCGCGUAGGCGGUUCUAUAAGUCAGACGUGAAAGCCCUGGGCUUAACCCAGGAGGUGCGUAUGAAACUAUAGAGCUAGAGGACGAGAGAGGUGAGUGGAAUUCCUAGUGUAGAGGUGAAAUUCGUAGAUAUUAGGAGGAACACCAGUGGCGAAGGCGGCUCACUGGCUCGUACCUGACGCUGAGGCGCGAAAGCGUGGGGAGCAAACAGGAUUAGAUACCCCCGUAGUC